GACGAACCGUGCGAACGUUAUUCGGAAUCACUGGGCUUAAAGGGCGCGUAGGCGGACCACCAAGUCCGGGGUGAAAUCCUCCGGCUUAACCGGAGAAUUGCCUGGGAUACUGGUGGUCUUGAGGGAGGUAGGGGCACGCGGAACUUCCGGUGGAGCGGUGAAAUGCGUUGAUAUCGGAAGGAACGCCGGUGGCGAAAGCGGCGUGCUGGCCCUCUUCUGACGCUGAGGCGCGAAAGCCAGGGGAGCGAACGGG
rnacentral:rRNA from 1 species